rnacentral:rRNA from 1 species
AUCUAGCCAUGCCGCGUGAGUGAUGAAGGCCUUAGGGUUGUAAAGCUCUUUCAGCUGGGAAGAUAAUGACGGUACCAGCAGAAGAAGCCCCGGCUAACUCCGUGCCAGCAGCCGCGGUAAUACGGAGGGGGCUAGCGUUGUUCGGAAUUACUGGGCGUAAAGCGCACGUAGGCGGACUGGAAAGUUGGGGGUGAAAUCCCGGGGCUCAACCUCGGAACUGCCUUCAAAACUAUCAGUCUGGAGUUCGAGAGGAGGUGAGUAGUAACUUCGAGUGUAGAGGUAGUAAGUUCGUAGUAUUAGUUACGGGAACGGAACCACCGAGGUCGGACGGAACGGGCGCUCACGUCGGCUACGAUACGUCGACGCGUGGUAGGUCGGAACGGAAACGGUCGGGUAGGGGGACGAACAAACGAGGUAUUAGACCUUACCGUGGUACGUCCACCGGACCGUAAACGAGGUCGGCGUCGUAGGUGGUACGGUACUACUACUACCGUACGUAGGUUACGGUCGGUGGGAGGACGACGGACACGACGGAGGGUAGAG